rnacentral:piRNA from 1 species
AUGUAGAGCAACAUUCAGUCUACGAUGGUA